rnacentral:lncRNA from 10 species
CACAGGUGGAGGAGGAGCCUUAGGCUCAAGGUUAACACCCACUCUCCUUCCCUGUUCUGCAUCACAGUCACGGGGGUCACCCAAGGAGUGCCUUGUAUGGUAGAGAGAGAUUAACAGGGCAGCCUCCCAGCAGUCCCCACCCCAACCCUGCUCCCUGGGCCAGCUGUCCCGCUGUCAUUGACCCGGUCCCUAUUUACAGUUCAGUAGCAGAGGCCUAUGACUCAGGGACAGAGGGAAUUCCCACGGUGCCAGGCCUCAGGCCAUGUGGAGAGUGGCUCAUUAAGAGCCACGGCACAGCGAUUACCUCCAGAGAGGCGUGUGAGCAGGUACCUUGGAAGCUCUGUUUCUCAUGUUUCUAAAGAUCGCCAAGGUGUUGUGUUCUGAGUAAUAAUGAAUUGCCUUCAUUAUUCACACGCACAACCUGCACCACCGCCCACAAAGGCCUUGGACACUCCUGCUGAAGAGGUCAAGUCAGCCCUCUGGUCCCAGCUCUCCCAUUGACUGGCUGGUGGGUGUCAGCCUAAGAGCCGUAUGGACUUCGUCAGUGCCGGAGUGUGAGGCCCUUUGUAUUUUGGAGCCAUUACCAGAAAGCAGAGCCUCCAGUAGACCUUUUUCAAACUUUCUGUGUGGUUUGCACGUUCGUCCACUGUACCGAGGUAGCAUUUCUUCUCAUUAUGACUCCUGGGGCUGUCCGCCUGCCUCCGGUUCCCAAAACCCUGUGGGUGUGGAAGCUGUGAGGUAAGCAGAACAUGGCCCAGCCCCCGGGCCCUGCUGAUUGGUUCAGAAGUGGACCUCUGGCGCAGGCCCCUCCAACCACAACAUCCUGAGCUCUUGGCAACAAUUGUUUGGUGACGGCCUCAGCUUUUAACUAGAAUUUUGGAGAAAAGCUGCAGUGUGUCUUUAACUUGUUAAGCUUGGGAGCUGCUAUCGGAGAGUCUUGCAUUCUGGGCCCAGCCACAUCCCUGCUCUUGGUAAAGGAGCAACAGCACCUGGAGGACCCAAAUUUGCUGUCAUCCUCCACGAGGCCUCAGCAGUCUCCAACAUGGAAGGGCACUGAGCCAGCCUGGGGGUUUCCAGGGACCUUCCUGACUGAACACUGGAAAGACCCUUUCAUUCCAUCCUGUCCCCCAGGUGGGACCCCACGCCCUGAGGUGGAACAGAGGUGAAGAGGAAGGGGAGCGGCUCCUGUGCAUUUUAAUAGAAAUGAAUUCAAGUUCUCUCCUGAAGGACUCAGUUCCUUGGGCCCAAACUUCUCCAGUCUCUCAUGAAAGGAGAUGAACUGCUUCAGAUAAAGUGCUAAUCUUCAGCCUCAAAGUCCUCAGAAGGGCCUUCUCCACGCUGCUGGGCUGUGAAAGGCUGAAGGAGGUGGAGCUGGGGAGGAAGAUGAAGAUCUAGAGGUCUGAGAGAGCUUCAACUGAGUAGAGAGCAGCCUGGGUUCCAAAGUCCUGGCCCCAGCUCUGUGUAGCCAUGUGACUUUAGUUCAGGCCCUUGACUUCUCUAAGCUUCUGUGUGCACAGCUAUCAAAUGGGAGUAAUAGCAGUAUUGACCUCGUGGGUGGUUAUGAGGCUUUACUGAGAUGGUACAAUGUCAAGGGCUUAGCACAUUGCCUGGCACGUAACACUCAGUAAAUGCCACCCUGACUGCGUUUAAUUUGGGAAGCUAGACCCUUACCUACCCAAGGGCUGUGAUGGUAGCAAGCCCACCUGCAGCCAUCCUCAGAGGGUAGGUGGAGAGUGAAGCCAAGCCCCAGAGCCACGGACUCCAGAAUGAAGGUAUGGACUCCGUGCCUGGACCUGUUACUUGAUUAGGGUUUCUGACCCCAGCUUCUUCCCCAUUUGCCCUGUCACACCAUCCCAUAAUGUCCUGUUGCCCCCCUCUUGACCCUUCCUCCCACCCCAAUUCCAUUUAUCACAGUCCACUUGUGGUGUCAGGGCAGAGACGCCCAAGGCACUGAACUCAUCUUGCCACUGUUGGUCGCCCUCUGUGCGUUACAACAAUGUGGGACUUGGGGAUUCUAAACCACCACCCUCACCAAUUCUCUCAAUCCCCAUGACCAUCUCCAUGCCUCCAAGACUCUCUGUGCCAGCCCGGAGGGGAAGCUGUCCGCAAGGUCUCUGGCUCCUUAGUGCAGAGCAGGGUCUACACUAGGUGCAGAGCUCUCUGGUCAGCGCAGCAGUGGGCCUGCCACCCAGACACACAGAGGUGGCUCAGCAACAGUCAGAGGCCCUCAGACAACAUCGGGAACAGAAGUGGCUGUAUGAGCUUCUAAAAAGCCCCAUCUGGAAGCUGGAGAAGCUGGGCCCAUUUCCUAACUCAGAGGAGGCCACAGUCCCUGGGGCAGGAACUGGCCCCUCCUAUUCUUCCCUUGCCCUCCAGAGUGGGGUUGCCUGGGACCAGGUCCUCAGAAACUGUGAUGGGAGGAGGGCACCUUUACAACAGCAGGUGGAGCACCUGUAAGUCCUAAGUUCCCUUCCCCAAAGACCAAGAAAGAGUUUGGAGAAGACUGGAGCCAGCCUUGCCUUCUCCUCUCCUGAAGGAAUGGAUACAUGAAUGAAUGAAUGCCUCUACUUUACUCUUUUAUUUUUAGAGUUAAGGUAGAGAAAGAAUAAAAUAGCUGUGGAUGUACAAACACCAUUUAGAACACAGUUAAACAAGCCCAGAAGCUUAGUUGAAUACAAGUGUCAAUAGGCAACCACAUUUUGCAUUUGCUGCCCAGCAGCUAAACCAGAACUGGGCCCUGCAGUGCAGUAGUUUGGCCAACUGUUUAAUGAAUGAAUGACAUGACAUGACCACACAUUUCAGAUAACGGGGAAAACGGGGAGGAAGCUUUGGGGGGUGUGUCUCCGCACCCACAUAGAGUUGAAGUCACUUGUACUUGGUAUAACUUGACAGCUCGGUGAGCUUUAGAAUCAAGCACCCACAGAUGGGGAAAUCUCAUUUUCUAAAUGAAAUUAACAAAGUAGGAGGGGCAGAUCAGGGUGUUUCAAUUCAUACCCCAGCCUGCUCUCCUAGCAAUCUGGUAACUAGACCAGAGCUUCUGCUAAGUAAGUUAAUCAAACAACACCUGCUGGGGCGGUGCUGCCCACAGACUUGCCCACCAUUCUAAGACCCUGUACACACACACACACACACACACACACACACACACACACACACACACUGUCAUCCUGUUCUGGGCUAUUCUAUGUGUUUGAUGCUUGAGCCAAAGAUAGAAUUUGUGUGGACUGUUUUCCCUGAACACUUAACUUUUGCCUGACCAGGUACCCAAGAACUCUUCCCGAGAGCCCAACCCAGGCCUUGAGCAGCCACAUUGCCACAGGCCCUCUGGCUUUAUUGCUGUGUUGUUGACUCAGCUGGGGAUUUCUGGUGGCUUUGAGAUUCUCUCUCCAUCUGGACUCAGUCUCUGAGGCUCCAGACUCCUUCCUAGUCCCUAUUUCCUCCUGUCUUGUCCCCCUUGGACUCACCUGGGCAAUGGGCUUCUCCAGUCUGAAAGGGUCAGGCCCUGUUAGGCUGGGGCCACUGCCCUGGGCAGCAUCUGGAGUGAAAGGCAAGCUGAGCUGCUGUCAGGCCCUGAGAAACAGGUAUUUUUAUUCCGGGGAGUGGCCCCUUUUCGGGACUCAGACCCUGGGAAUUCAGGUGCCCCACUCAGCUCUAGCUAAAGUUGGGCUCCCAGGACCCUCACCAGGCUAAGAGUGAAUGCGCUUGGGUUUCUUAGCUCCCCUGCCCCCCCCACCAUUCCCCAUAGUGGGUUCCUUUUGUCUUCACUAAAUCCCCUCCAAUCUCCCCUUCCAAAAGGCAGCAGAUCCAAGUGGAAUUCAACACCCAAACACUCACACAAAGGCAAGGAUUAAUAGCUGGCUUUGUCUGGGCACAGAUGUGCAGCAGCUUGGCGGGGGGGUGGGGAGGGGGCAUUUUUUUCUUGCCACUUGAGUCAGCUGGGUUCUGGCUCCGCACUUGAGGGUGGGGAGGGGAGGAAGCUGGGGAGGAACUGCUGCAUGGAUUCCCCUCGAGGGCACCACACCCGACUUCUCUGAGCUGGUAUGUUCUUGGGAGUCUGGUCCCCACGAAGGAGAGACUUCCUCUACAAAGUUCUUCUCUGGCUGGGAGGCCUGUCAGCCUCUCUUCCUUUGACUUCAACAAGUCACACUCACAAGCUGGUGCGCAGUCUCUGGACUCAGUUCCUGUUCUUCCAGAGCCUGAGCUCUAAAACAGGCCCCAGACAUUCUCAAAGAAACCCUGAGAGCUGAGCGGACUAACUGGGACACUGACAGGAGGCACACGGGGGCAUACUGCAGGAGGAUGGGGAAUGUUCCUGGAGGAGCUGGGGCUUAAUCUGAGCUCCAAAGGAUGGACAGAGGGGAAAGAAGGGGACUUCUUUGCAGCGACUCCAGGAGGGGUCAGUGGGGCAGGAGAGAGCAGGGCCUUGAAGGUAUGGGAAGGGGAAUGAAUAUUUCCUGUGGCAAUAGGGAGCCACUGAAGUUGUAGAUCAGAGUCAGAGCUGGAGAAGCACCAUGGGUGUAAGGAAGCCUGUUCUGUUAUUGGGCAUAGAACAGGCUGGAGGAGGUGGUAGCCAAGGAAACAAAUGGGUGUCUCUGGGCCAGAGCUCAUUCUCACUCAGCCCCUCUGCAUCCAACAGAAUCCCUUAUUUGAACAAUCCAUGCUACUAUUCAACCACACAAUCACGGAAUUACAAAUUUGGUCCUCAAUAUUUAGGGACAGAAAUAUCAUGUUUCCCUAUUGUUCUAUGUCAGGUAAAUUAGGCUUCAUUCCUAAACACAGAGCUCAUUGGAAAUAUGACAUCAGUCAAGUUUGGGGUGAAGGGGUGCUUCCCCUUCCCUAGGGUGGGACAAGUAUCUGGGGUCUCCAGACCAGCUGGUCUCUGAGGGGCUUGUUGAUCAAGACAAGACCCCUGGUAUCAGGAGGUUUAUAUGCUAGAGGAGGAAAAACAGUAAGAAACAAGGAAGCAAAUGAAUAAAUGGGAUAGCUUUAGAUCAAGUUUGUCCAACCUGUGGCCUGCAGGCCACGUGCAGCCCAGGACAGCUUUGAAUGCAGCCCAGCACAAAUCUGUAAACUUUCUUAAAACAUUAUGAGAUUUUUUUUUUCCUGAGACAGAGUCUUGCUCUGUCACCCAGGCUGGAGUGGAGUGGCAUGGUCUCGGCUCACUGCAGCCUCCGCCUCCCAGGUUCAAGUUAUUGUCCUGCCUCAGCUUCCUGAGUAGUUGGGAUUACAGGCAUGUGCCACCACACCCAGUUAAUUUUUUGUAUUUUUAGUAGAGACGGGGUUUCACCAUGUUGGCGAGGCUGGUCUCGAACUCCUGACCUCAGGCGAUCUGCCCACCUUGGCCUCCCAAAUUGCUGUAAUUAUAGGCAUGAGCCACCAUGCCUGGCCAAACAUUAUGAGUUUUUUUAGCAGUUUUUUUUUCCUUUUUUUUUUUUUUUUUAGCUCAUCAGUUAUCAUUAGUAUUAGUGUAUUUUAUGUGUGGCCCAAGACAAUUCUCCUUCUUCCCAUGUGGCCCAGGGAAGCCAAAAGAUUAGACACCCUUGCUUUAGAUAGUGACAAAUGCUGGAGAAGAACAGACUGAUAUGUCUGGCUGGGAUGAGUGGUCAGAGAAGGCUACUCUGAGGAGAGAGCAUUUCAGCUGAGAACUGGAGGAUGAGAAGGAGUGAGACAUAGUAGAAUCUCAUCUAGUCUAGAUAUUUAACCCUUUUUGGUCUAAAAACAGUAAUUUCAGAGAGCUCAACGUAAUACAGAGAUAGAGGUGCUGAGCAUAUUUAAUGCAAAGGAAUGGAGGCAGGACUGAGAUUGGAGUGGCAGUCUCAGCUCAGAAAAGGUGGUGCAAUGACAGGGCACUGAGUGAGGGACACAUAGGAAAAAGUGAGCUCAGAGGGCAGGUCUGGCUAGAGAAGGAGUUGAGAGUCUAAGUUCAGUGGGAAAAAUAAAUUUCGAGGGUCAGAUUGUGAACUGAUUCAUGUUUGGAAUGUUAAAAUGUUGAAUGUUUUACAAUUUGAAAUUAAAGACAAUACCAUUUACAUUAGCACCUCAAAAUAAGAAAUACUCUAGUAUAAAUCUAACAAAACAUGUACAAAAUCUAUAUGAGUAAAACAAUAAAAUGCUGGUAAAAUAAAUCAAAGAUCUAAAUAAAUAGAGAGAUAUUCCAUGUUCGUGGAUGGUGAGACUCAAUAUUGUUCAGAUAUCGGUUCUUUCCAGCUUGAUCUAUAGAUUCAAUAUAAUCAUAAUCAACUCCCAGUUGUCUCUUUUGUGGAACUGGCAAAGCAAUUCUUAAGUUUAUGUAGAGAGGCAAAAGACUAGAACAGUUAACACAAUAUUGAAGGAGAAAACAAAGUCAGAGGGCUGACGCUACCCCAUUUCAAGAUGUACUGUAAAAGCUGUUGUGAUCACCUGCAGUCCCAGUUACUUGGUGAGAGGAUUGCUUGUGCCCAGUAGGUCGAGGUUGCAGUGAGUUAUGACUGCACCACUGUGCUCUAGCCUGGGCCACAGAGUGAGACUCCACCCCUAAAAAAAAAUUCAAAAUAGAUUCUAGAUCUAAAUAUAAAAGCAAAACUAUAAAAAUUCUAGAAGAUAACACAGAAGAAAAUCUAGGUGACCUUGGAUUUGGUGAUGACAUUUUAAAUACAACACCAAAAGUAUGAUACAUAAAAGAAAAAAAUGACAAAUUGAGUUUCAUUAAAAUUAAAAACUUCUCUGCCAAAGACAUUGUUGAGAGAACGAAAAGACGAGCCACAGACUAGGAGAAAAUAUUAGCAGAACACGUAUCUGAUAAAGGACUGCUAUCCAAAGUACACAAAGAACCCUUCGACAAUAAGAAAACAAUUCAAUUAAAAAUGAGCAAAGAUCGGAACAGACAUCUCACCAAAGGCAUACAGAUGGCAAAUAAACACAUGAAAAGAUGCUCAACAUAAUAUGUCAUUAGGGAGUUGCAAAUUAGAAUAACAAUGAGAUACCACUACACACCUAUUAUAAUGGCUAAAGUCCCAAACACUGGCAACACCAAAUGCUGAAGUGGCUGAAGAGCAAUAGAAUUCUCAUUCAUUGCUGGUGGGAAUGCAAAAUGAUACACACACAUUGGAAGGCAGUUUGGGAGUUUCUUGCAAAGCUGAACAUACUCUUACAUAUAAUCCAGCGAUCACCCUCAGGAAUUUACCCAAAUGAACUGAAAACUUAUGUCCCCCCUGCACAUAAAUGUUUAUAGCACCUUUAUUCAAAAAAUUGCAAAAACUUGAACCAAGAUAUCCUUCAGCAGGUAAAGGUUAAAUAAAUAGUGGUUCACCCAGACAAUGAAAUAUUAUUCACGGUUAAAAAACGAUCAAGCUAUCAAGUCAUGAAGGAACCUUAAAUGUGUAAUGCUAAGUGAAAGAAGCCAGUCUGAAAAGGCUAUAUACUAUAUGAUUCCAGUAUAUGACAUUCUGGAAAAGGCAAACUUGUGGAGACAGUGAAAAGAUCAGAGGUUGCCCGGGUUCCUGGGGAGGGGCGAGGGAUGAAUUGUGGGAACACGGGAUAUUUAGAGCAGUGAAACUACUCUGGAUGACACUAUAAUAAUGGUAGCCAUUAUACAUUUGUCAAAACCCACAGCACUCACAACACUAAAAGUGAACUCUGAUAUAAACUAUAAACUUCAGCUAAUAAUAAUAAUACAUGAAGCACUUUGGGAGGCCAAGCCAGGAGGCUAGUUUGAGCCCAGGAGUUCAAGGCCAGCAUGGGCAACAGAGCAAGCCCUCAGCUUUACAAAAAAUAAGAAAAAUUAGCCAGGCGUGGUCAUGAGCACCUGUAGUCCCAGCUAAUCAAGAUGCUGGAGGAUCACUUGAACCUGGGGACGGAGGCUGCAGUGAGCCGUGAUCAUGCCACUGCACUCCAGCCUGGGCAACAGAGUGAGACCUUGUCUCAAAAUAAUAACAACAACAAUAAUAAUAAUGUAUCAGUAUUAGCUCAUCACUUGUAACAAAUGUAACACAUGAAUACAAAAUGUUAAUAACAGAGGAAACUAGGGGCCGGGCAGUGUGGCUCACGCCUGUAAUCCCAGCACUUUGGGAGGCCGAUCCAGGCAGGCGGAUCACAAGGCCAGGAGUUUGAGACCAACCUGGCCAACAUGGUGAAACCCCGUCUCUACUAAAAAUACAAAAAAUUAGCCAGGCACGGUAGUGCACAUCUGUAAUCCCAGCUACUUGGGAGGCUGAGGCAGGAGAAUCACUUGAACCCAGGAGGCGGAGGUCGCAGUGAACAGAGAUAGUGCCAUUGCACUCCAGCCUGGGUGACAGAGCAAGACUCCAUCUCAAAACAAACAAACAAAUGAAAAUAAUCAUAACAGAGGAAACUUGAGGGGUUGGGGGAAGGGGUAUAUGAGAAUUCUGUACUUAAAAAAAAAUUUCUGUAAACCUAAAGAUGCUCUUUCUUAAAAGCCUAUUAAUAAACAUUUAAAAAAUAAUUAAAA